rnacentral:rRNA from 1 species
GACGAACGCUGGCGGCGUGCUUAACACAUGCAAGUCGAACGGUGAAGCGCCUUCCUUUUUGGUGGGUGUGGAUGAGUGGCGAACGGGUGAGUAACACGUGAGUAACCUGCCCCCUUCUUCUGGAUAACCGCAUGAAAGUGUGGCUAAUACGGGAUAUUCUGGGUCUGUCGCAUGAUGGGUCUGGGAAAGAUAUUGUUUCGGUGGGGGAUGGGCUCGCGGCCCAUCAGCUUGUUGGUGGGGUGAUGGCCUACCAAGGCGGUGACGGGUAGCCGGCCUGAGAGGGUGGACGGUCACACUGGGACUGAGACACGGCCCAGACUCCUACGGGAGGCAGCAGUGGGGAAUAUUGCACAAUGGACGCAAGCCUGAUGCAGCGACGCCGCGUGAGGGAUGGAGGCCUUCGGGUUGUGAACCUCUUUCGCCAGUGAAGCAGGCCUGCCUCGUUUGUGGGUGGGUUGACGGUAGCUGGAUAAGAAGCGCCGGCUAACUACGUG